rnacentral:rRNA from 1 species
AUACGGAGGAUCCGAGCGUUAUCCGGAUUUAUUGGGUUUAAAGGGAGCGUAGGUGGAUUGUUAAGUCAGUUGUGAAAGUUUGCGGCUCAACCGUAAAAUUGCAGUUGAAACUGGCAGUCUUGAGUACAGUAGAGGUGGGCGGAAUUCGUGGUGUAGCGGUGAAAUGCUUAGAUAUCACGAAGAACUCCGAUUGCGAAGGCAGCUCACUAGACUGUUACUGACACUGAUGCUCGAAAGUGUGGGUAUCAAACAGGAUUAGAUACCCUGGUAGUCCACACAGUAAACGAUGAAUACUCGCUGUUUGCGAUACACAGUAAGCGGCCAAGCGAAAGCAUUAAGUAUUCCACCUGGGGAGUACGCCGGCAACGGUGAAACUCAAAGGAAUUGACGGGG